CAAUAGCGUAUAUUAAAGUUGUUGCAGUUAAAAAGCUCGUAGUUGGAUUUGUGGCGUACGGUGUGUUCCGGGCACUUGUUGUCUGAGUAACCUGCUGUUGCCAUCCUUGGGUGGAACCUGUGUGGCAUUAGGUUGUCGUGCAGGGGAUGCCCAUCAUUUACUGUGAAAAAAUUAGAGUGUUCAAAGCAGGCUUAUGCCGUUGAAUAUAUUAGCAUGGAAUAAUGAGAUAGGACUUUUUUGCUAUUUUGUUGGUUUGCGCAAAGAGGUAAUGAUUAAUAGGGACAGUUGGGGGUAUUCGUAUUCCAUUGUCAGAGGUGAAAUUCUUGGAUUUUUGGAAGACGAACUACUGCGAAAGCAUUUACCAAGGAUGUUUUCAUUAG
rnacentral:rRNA from 1 species